rnacentral:rRNA from 1 species
GUAGUCGAUGGGAAACAGGUUAAUAUUCCUGUACUUGGUGUUACUGCGAAGGGGGGACGGAGAAGGCUAUGUUAGCCGGGCGACGGUUGUCCCGGUUUAAGCAUGUAGGCUGGUUAUCCAGGCAAAUCCGGAUAAUCAAGGCUGAGGUGUGAUGACGAGGCACUACGGUGCUGAAGUAACAAAUGCCCUGCUUCCAGGAAAAGCCUCUAAGCAUCAGGUAACAUCAAAUCGUACCCCAAACCGACACAGGUGGUCAGGUAGAGAAUACCAAGGCGCUUGAGAGAACUCGGGUGAAGGAACUAGGCAAAAUGGUGCCGUAACUUCGGGAGAAGGCACGCUGGUGUGUAGGUGAAGUCCCUGCGGAUGGAGCUGAGACCAGUCGAAGAUACCAGCUG